rnacentral:rRNA from 1 species
UGGGGAAUUUUGGACAAUGGGGGCAACCCUGAUCCAGCAAUGCCGCGUGUGUGAAGAAGGCCUUCGGGUUGUAAAGCACUUUUGUCCGGAAAGAAAACGCCGUGGUUAAUACCCGUGGCGGAUGACGGUACCGGAAGAAUAAGCACCGGCUAACUACGUGCCAGCAGCCGCGGUAAUACGUAGGGUGCAAGCGUUAAUCGGAAUUACUGGGCGUAAAGCGUGCGCAGGCGGUCCGCUAAGACAGAUGUGAAAUCCCCGGGCUUAACCUGGGAACUGCAUUUGUGACUGGCGGGCUAGAGUAUGGCAGAGGGGGGUAGAAUUCCACGUGUAGCAGUGAAAUGCGUAGAGAUGUGGAGGAAUACCGAUGGCGAAGGCAGCCCCCUGGGCCAAUACUACGCUCAUGCACGAAAGCGUGGGGAGCAAACAGGAUUAGAUACCCUGGUAGUCCACGCCCUAAACGAUGUCAACUAGUUGUCGGGUCUUCAUUGACUUGGUAACGUAGCUAACGCGUGAAGUUGACCGCCUGGGGAGUACGGUC